rnacentral:rRNA from 1 species
UACGUAGGGGGCAAGCGUUAUCCGGAUUUACUGGGUGUAAAGGGAGCGUAGACGGUACGCCAAGUCUGAAGUGAAAUGCCGCAGCUUAACUGCGGAACUGCUUUGGAAACUGGCGGGCUAGAGAGCAGGAGAGGGCGGUGGAACUCCAUGUGUAGCGGUAAAAUGCGUAGAUAUAUGGAAGAACACCAGUGGCGAAGGCGGCCGCCUGGCCUGUUACUGACGCUGAGGCACGAAAGCGUGGGGAGCAAAUAGG